AGCGAACGCUGGCGGCAGGCCUAACACAUGCCAGUCGAACGAACUCUUCGGAGUUAGUGGCGGACGGGUGAGUAACACGUGGGAACGUGCCUUUAGGUUCGGAAUAACUCAGGGAAACUUGUUCUAAUACCGAAUGUGCCCUUCGGGGGAAAGAUUUAUCGCCUUUAGAGCGGCCCGCGUCUGAUUAGCUAGUUGGUGAGGUAAAGGCUCACCAAGGCGACGAUCAGUAGCUGGUCUGAGAGGAUGAUCAGCCACAUUGGGACUGAGACACGGCCCAAACUCCUACGGGAGGCAGCAGUGGGGAAUCUUGCGCAAUGGGCGAAAGCCUGACGCAGCCAUGCCGCGUGAAUGAUGAAGGUCUUAGGAUUGUAAAAUUCUUUCACCGGGGACGAUAAUGACGGUACCCGGAGAAGAAGCCCCGGCUAACUUCGUG
rnacentral:rRNA from 1 species